rnacentral:rRNA from 1 species
GACGAACGCUGGCGGCGUGCUUAACACAUGCAAGUCGAGCGGUAAGGCCUUUCGGGGUACACGAGCGGCGAACGGGUGCGUGACACGUGGGUGAUCUGCCCUGCACUCUGGGAUAAGCCUGGGAAACUGGGUCUAAUACUGGAGAUGCCCUCAGCAUGCAUGUGCUGGGGUGGAAAGCUUUUGUGGUGCAGGAUGGGCCCGCGGCCUAUCAGCUUGUUGGUGGGGUAAUGGCCUACCAAGGCGACGACGGGUAGCCGACCUGAGAGGGUGACCGGCCACACUGGGACUGAGACACGGCCCAGACUCCUACGGGAGGCAGCAGUGGGGAAUAUUGCACAAUGGGCGGAAGCCUGAUGCAGCGACGCCGCGUGAGGGAUGAAGGCCUUCGGGUUGUAAACCUCUUUCAGCAGGGACGAAGCGUGAGUGACGGUACCUGCAGAAGAAGCACCGGCUAACUACGUGCCAGCAGCCGCGGUAA